GACGAACGCUGGCGGCGUGCUUAACACAUGCAAGUCGAACGGAAAGGCCCUGCUUUUGUGGGGUGCUCGAGUGGCGAACGGGUGAGUAACACGUGAGUAACCUGCCCUUGACUUUGGGAUAACUUCAGGAAACUGGGGCUAAUACCGGAUAGGAGCUCCUGCUGCAUGGUGGGGGUUGGAAAGUUUCGGCGGUUGGGGAUGGACUCGCGGCUUAUCAGCUUGUUGGUGGGGUAGUGGCUUACCAAGGCUUUGACGGGUAGCCGGCCUGAGAGGGUGACCGGCCACAUUGGGACUGUGAUACGGCCCAGACUCCUACGGGAGGCAGCAGUGGGGAAUAUUGCCCAAUGGGCGGAAGCCUGAUGCAGCAACGCCGCGUGCGGGAUGACGGCCUUCGGGUUGUAAACCGCUUUCGCCUGUGACGAAGCGUGAGUGACGGUAAUGGGUAAAGAAGCACCGGCUAACUACGUG
rnacentral:rRNA from 1 species